CCCCCGUUCCGCCCGGCUUCCCCCACCCCGCUAACUCCCUCCCACCCGGUGUCCCCUGCCUUCUCGAGCCGGCCCGCAGGGCAGCUCGGUUGUUUCGCCACAACUUGCGGGGUGCAUUCCUCCCCCACGCCCCGGGCGCCAUGGAAACCGCCCGGUUAACUCCCACCCCUCCGCACAGCCUCUGAAAUUCAUUCGUCCCCCUCCCAGUGAACCCCCGCAAGAAGAUCCCCUGCGCUCUUCCGAGGUAAGAGUCUGGGGACGAGUCCGCACGCCCAGCCCGCGCGCUCGGAGACCGGCGUCCCCACCGUCCCCACGGUGCACUGGGGAAUCCAAGACGGAUACCCAGCUUUCUCCCUCUGGGCUGGCCUCCCGACCCCUGGCUGAGCCUUCAGUGUAAAGGGACAUUUGUGGCUGCGCUCCUGGAUUAAAGGAGAGAUGCAGAAAACUCGCUUUUCUUGUUGCUUUCCCGAGAACACGGUCUUAUCUGGGGGGACUCAUAUUUGAACUUAAGUAGGGCUAUUAUGUCCUGAUGGGUCUCUGCGACCUCCAACGCGGGGACCUGGAGUGGUAGGGAGACGAGACGUCGGCGAAGUCGAUCGACGAAGCUGCGGACGGUGGCGGUGGGGAACUGUGUCGCUCCGCGCUGGCUCUGGGCGUGGUGUUGGAAACGGUCUUUGCCCCCAAGUAGCCCUAGGCUGCCACCUGCCGGUCCCAGGCCAUUCCAGAGAGUAAACCCUCACCUAGUCGUGGUCGGACGUGCAGGCCUGCAGCCUUCGUCCAUUUCAGCCAAGGCAAGUGACAGUGAUAGAGGCCCAAUUGUCCCUGGGCUCAGACUCUUGACUCAGCGACUCCUAGAUGUGCAACUGCAGAUAAAGUACGUCCCCUCUGCACCUCAGUUUCUUCAUCUGUGCAAUGGCGAUGAUGAAAUAGUGCCUACCUAGAAGUGUUGCUUGAGGCUCGAGUGAGUCCAUACAGGAAUGUGUUGAGAAAAUUCCUGGCAGAUGAGUAUUCUGUGAGUCUUGGCUAUCCUAGCAAAAAGCUAGUAUUUGUUACACUGUGCUAAACAGUAAUGCAUUAUCUCAUUUAAGCAUCACAAUGACAGGUCAUUAUUAUUGCUUGCCUUUUUUUUCCCCUCCUUUGGGUGCUGGGAAUUGAACCCAGUAUGUGCUGAACACAGACUGCACCACAAACCAAACCCCCAGCCCCCAUUUUACAGAUAAGAAAACUGAAGCUCUUAGAAGUGAGAUAACUUCUUAUUUAAGGUCCCAUCUGCCCUGGAGAGCCAUGAUGCUCAUUCAAGUCCAUAAUCAUUCAAUCUAUAACCCAGGUCUUCAGGUUGGGUGUGUUGGCAGUGUUGAGCAUCCCCAGGAACUUGUUAGAAGGGAAGACUUCCUGGGGACCCCAGACCUCCUGAAUCAGAAUCUGAAAUUUAACAGAUCCCCAGGUUAUUUGUUUGUUCAAACAUUAAAGUUUGAGAGCCCUUGGGUGCUGUGGCUUCAUUUUUGUUUUCUUUUUUUAAAACUUCAGCCAAACAUGAAUAAUUUAAAGCCCUGGGACAGUGGUUCCAACUUGGUUUGCACAUUAAAAUCACCUGGGAGAGGGCUCUGGACAUAAGGGGUGCCCAGGCCACAGUCCAAAUCAGAAUCCGUGAGGGUGGACAGGUCAUCCAGAUCUGCAACCAAGUUGGAGCCAGGCUUGGUGGGUUAGAACCACUGGUUCCCAGGAGAAUGAGAUUCACUCUUUUUAGUGAAGCCCUCUCCCUACUGAGAGGCUCCCCUUCACUUUUUGGUAGAAAUUAUAGAGCCUUUAACUAUAAUGGAAUAUUUGAAGAGGAAAUAUAUACCCAUCUAAGAAUUUCUAUGCUAAUUUUACAGUCUGUAUUCUCAGAAUUCCUCUAGUAUUCCCAUCUUUUUGCAGGGAGAAUAGAAUCUGUGUUCCUUGAGACUACUCUCUGCUCUUUUUUUUUUUUUUGGUACCGGUGAUUUGAACCCAGGGACAUUUAAUUUCUGAGCCACCUCCCCAGCCCUUUUUAAUAUUUGAUUUAGAGACAGUCACUGAGUUGCUUAGGGCCUCGCUAAGUUGCUGAGGCUGGCUUUGAACUCACUACCCUCCUGCCUCAGUCUCCCGAGCCACUGGGCAGUAUAGAUUCUUAACUCCACUUUUACAGAUAGAGAAACUGAGGCUCAGAGAGGGGGGCUGUGUUCCUCAGAGUUCUACAGCUAAUGAGUGUCAGAACAAACUAGAACAGUAAGGCAGGUUGUCCUUCCAUGUAGUCUCUUCUGUGCACUCUUCCAGAGCAGUGCUUUAGUCUGGUGGCAAAUCUCAAGGGUCUAACCUGGAUUUCAAGAAAUAUUUUGGGUUGCUCUUGUGGUGAAGUGGAUCGAUUUGCUGUGAGCACUGGGUUGGGUCUACUCAGAUUUGGAGCUCUGUUCUGCCAUUAUUAACUUUGGGAUCUUGGGCAAGUUACUUAAUCUCUUUAUCCUUCAGUUCUGAAUCUAUCAAAUGAGGAUUUAAAAUACCUGUCUCAUAGAGUUGCUAUGAGCAUUAAACAAGAUAAUGUGUAUAAGUUGUUUUCAAUAAUAAUGAUGAUGAUAUUUCAGCAGCCACCAGAACUGUGCAGAUGCCUGGCUGGUUCCCACCACAAGGUGGACAGUUACAUAGAUUUUAGGAAGAACUGGGCACGGUGGCACACACCUGUAAUCCCAGCAACUCAGGAAGCUGAGGUGGGAGGAUCACAGGUUUGAGGCCAGCCUCAGCAACUGAGUGAGAUCCUGUCUCAAAAUAAAAAAGAGGGCUGGGGAUUAACUUAGUGGUAGAGUGCCCCUGGGUUCAAUCCCCAGUACCAAAAGAGAAAAAAAAAAUUAGAAAUAUAUUACUAAUGUUCUGAUAAAGAAACAUUCCAUAUUAAUCCAAAUGAAGAAACAUUUAUUAAGUGCUUACUGUGUGUUCUAUUUAUAUAUUUGUUCUAUGGGAAUCUGCAGGUACACCUUGAGAGAACCCCUGGCAUUGAGUUCCAACUUUCCUGGCCCUCUGCAGGAUGGUUGCAAAGUCUGCCCCCUGCUGGCUAACAUCUUGGCUCUAAAAGCAGGACUUGAAGUCAAAAAUGUCACACUCUUCUUGUUACCACAAGCUAACCAGGGGCUGCAGAUGCAGGGGGCAUAGAGCUUAUCAAGUGCGGAGGAAGGCUAAAUUUUCAAUGAAAUGAAUCAAGUUGAGACACUGGCACUUGCAAUCUGUAAGGUUGACUGUAAUAGUUGUGCAUGUGUGAUUUAGAUUUGGAAUACUACAUGCUCAACAAUAUUCUGUUUGCCUUAUCUCCCAUUCUUUCCACAGAUAUAUAGUUCUCUAAGGACUCAGGUGUAUCUGGAGCAUUUAAUGAGACAAAUUAGAUAGCACAUGUCCUCUGUAUGUGUCUGUAGUACCAAGUUAAAUUACACAUCAUCAUGGAAUUUAAAAAAACUGGAGACAAAGAGAAGAUCCAACAAACUUUCAGAGGGAUAAGAAAAAUUGGUUUCAUAAACUAUUUUCCAAAAAAAAAAAGAAAAGAAAAAAUAGGGACAAAAUGUCAUUAGAGGGCUGGGGUGGUGGCUCAGUGGUAGAGCGCUCGCCUAGCACAUGCAAGGCCCUGGGUUCAAUCCUCAGCACCACAUAAAAAUAAACAAAAUAAAAUUAAAGUAUUGUGUCCAACUACAACUAAAAAAAAUGUCAUUAGAGUUAUCAAGCCUAGAAAUGGUCCAUUAGUGGAACAGUGCCUUCUGAGGAAAGAGUAUUUCCUGCCUAUAAUUCUGUACCCAAGCUAUCAAAAACUAAGUAUGAAAAAGAAUCAAACAUGUCCUGACGUGCAGAGUUCCAAAAAUGGGGACUGUCUUAUCUCCCAUCUCAGAAAGCUGCUAAAGGAUAUGCUCCACCAAAACAAGGGAGGAAACCUAGGAAGAAUAAGAUUGAAACAGGGAUUCCAACACAAGGGACAGGUGACAGGAAGAUUUUUCCAUGCUAAAGGAAAAAAUCACAGGUGGACGGCAAGCAAUAUGCCAAGCAGAAGAAGAGGCAGCCUGUUCAGACUGAAGCUGGUCUGAAGACUUGAGGGAAGAUUUAUUCAAGGUGAUAUUGGUGGUAUUAUUUUUUUUUAAAUAUUAAGAGGAGGUUUCCACAAUUGGGGGAGAAUGAGGGAUUGAACUAGUGAUAAGAGCCAUAAAUAUAGCUGAAUAAAUGGCAGAAAGUCAUGAUAAAUUUUGGUGGAGCUGUGGAGGAAAGGAGAAAUAAAAUCAUGGUAUACCUUAAAUGACUCAGCUGUUCAUAGCAUGGACACAAUCAGAUCAUGUGAACACGGAAGGUCACAUUAUAUAGACAUCACCUUGGGUGAUCUGACUUUUUUGGGAGGGUGGGGGAAUGGGACCGGGCACACGUGUGUGGUGGUUGUCUGCCAUAUUGGAAAGGCUGUGUCUUGUGAACACUUAACAUGGCAAAAAUCAGGAAGCAUCAGUGUACUCGUGCUACUUGGAGGUAAAUACCAAAAGAAUCAUGGAGCUGUAAACAGCUGUCAGAGAACAGGAAAGGGGGAUAGGAAACUGGUAUUUUUGAUAGGUGACUGUUUCUCUUUAAACUAUGCCUGAUUCUCAUUUUUUAAAAACAAAAUAACCCUCCACAUUUAAAAGUCAAAUCAGAUUAGAUGGUGGUCUAGCUGCUUUCACUAAGAUGUCUCGGAGUGUGGUCAACUCCAUCCUGGAUUUGAUAAUAUGGUUGCUAAGAAGGACACCAAGACUCCAACCCUGGAAUCUCAAAGGAAGGGAUGUCCCCUUAGCUAACCUGUGACCUGCAACGCUGCACCAGGAUAUCACCACCUCAGAAAAAUCAAUGUGUGGUCAGAGGCCUUAGUAGCCACAUCCUAAUCUUGUUGGCCCUUCUGCGACCUUUUUGUUAUUUUAAAUAUCUUUCAUAUUUAAAGAAGAUUCUAGAAAGUCUCAUCCCUUCCAGUUACAACUCAACUCUGUCUGGUCAUCCAAAGAGGCAUGCUGCUGUCUGCUCCUCUGGAAUCCUGUGGAUGGACGGCAGCUGGCCCACAGUCAUGGAAACCCAAAGCCUGAGAACCUCCCUCCUCACACUCGCCACCCACUGGCUCCUGCCUUCCCUCCUCUCCCUUCCCACCACCGCCACCUUAGUUCUCUGUCAUGGCUUCUCACCUUGGCCUGGCCACUGCCUCCUCCUUGUUCUUACUCCUUCCAUUCACCAUCACCUGUUUCUUGGGGCUUUCCAGUUCUCUUCAGGUCUCUCCCCCUCCAGCUCUCAGAGGGCUCCCACUCCUCAGCUUAGCACACAAGUCCUUUGUGACGUCGCUCUGGCCGCAUCUCAGGCCACCACCCACAACCCCCUUUUGCUCCAGAUGGGUAGAACCAGCCGCUGCUCCACCAGUGUUGGGAAGCCACCGCCCGGCCUGUGCUCCUCAGUGCAGGGCCUGCCCUCCAGGAAGCCGACCCCAUGCCCAAUCGUGAUCUAGAAGCUUCUUCCCCACACGGCACGUGCACCUGAUAGGAGAUCCUACCAUCCUUUCUCAUAAAUGCUGAUCGACUCCAACUCGCCCACUUCCUGUGAGUUCCAUUCAUGUUUAAACCCCAACCUUAGCUCCAUAUCUGGCUCACAGAAGGGACACAAAGGACUGACUUGACUUCUCGGGUACAUUUCUUCGGGGAGAUGACCUCAAAUGGAGGACAACAUGGCCCACUUGUUCCGGACACUCAGGUCUCCUUUCUUCCUUUUGUUUCCUUCUGUCUUUUCCAGGGUGCCUCCCCCGUAGUAUUUGAGCCCCACUACCACCCUUCACAAAGCCCAAAGGGUGGGACGGUUGGGAGGGCCUCCCUGUGCCAAGGGGAAGUCUGGAUUCCCUCCUUGAUCAGAUCCUCUCAGUUCAGGGCUUUUCUGAGUCUGUCCUUGAAGGGAUGUGCCCAGGGCCUGCCCAGACCUGAGGGCAGAGGAAGACCCGCUCUCCUUAGGAGAGAGUCGAGAUGAGGACUCCUCCCUGGACAUUGUGUCUAGGACAAUGAAGCCGAUUUCUCAGGUCCCUGGAAAGACAGGAGAUUCUGGAAAGGCCUUAGAUGGAGUUAGUCCUUCACUAAAGAAAAGGCCCAGGGAUGAGGGUCCCAUUUUAUUUCCUCAGCUGGGUGUACUGGAGUGUUUAGGGCCGCCCACUUUCUUUCUUCUUACCUUUUAUGUAUUUUAAGUAUUAAUUAGAAAACAAAGAUGUUGCUCCCAACUCCAGAUAUGAGAAAGACCUAACUAAAACACACCAGUCGAAGAGGAAGGAGAUAUUUAAAUGGUUUGGUUUUGCAUAAUCUAUAGAAAGCCCAGUUUGCAUAGCCGACCAGAGGAACUACUUUGUGACAGCUACAUUUGUUGGUUGUCAGGGGAACAGUCAGAGGUAUGUGGAUGACAAAGCAGAGGGGCACUGACUGACUGGGCAGGGUCAUUGGGCUGGAGCCAUCACUCUGGAGAAAGGACAGACAGGCUCUUCUGGCUCAGCCUCUGAAUUUGUCAGGGAUUAAAGGGUAAACCCCAGACCCCAGGGAACUGGGUGGGAACCAUUCAUUCAUGAACCUCCUGCAGGCCAGGCCCUGUGCUGGGUGAAGGGGAAACAAACCCAACAAAGAUGAGUUUCUUGCCCUCAGAGAUCCACGGACCGCUACUGUGAGACUGGAUCAUCACUGGGAGCACAGUGAGGGCCAUGGUCAAGUUCCAGGCUGGCUCAUGGGUCGACCAAGCGAGGGGCAAAGGGAGUUUCUCAGGGAGAGGUUUGGACAGCGUCUUGAGCAAUCGGUAGGACUUGCCCAGACCGUGGCAGGUAUUGAGGAUCUCGUGGUCCCUCCUGCCCUCAAGGAGCUUGUGGUCUAGGUGGAGGACGAGUGUCAAACACUUCCAUAUACAACUAAGGAAAAUCGUGGUCGGUGCGGUGAGUGUUGGUAAAAAUUACAAAUGUCCUAGAUCUUAAGUGAGAUUUUUUUUUUCUAAGAGAGAGAGAGAGAGAGAGAGAGAGAGAGAGAGAGAGAAUUUUAAUAUUUAUUUUUUAGUUAUCGGCGGAUACAACAUCUUUGUUUUGUAUGUGGUGCUGAGGAUCGAACCCGGGCCGCACGCAUGCCAGGCGAGCGCACUACCACUUGAGCCACAUCCCCAGCCCUUAAGUGAGAUCUUGAGGGAGGGUGGAGCUCCCUGGGAGAGGUGGCGCAGGCUGUAACCCCACAACUUAGGAGGCUGAGGCAGAAAGAAGGAUCCGAAGUUCAAGGCCAGCCUCAGCAAUUUAGUGAGGCCCUGUCUCAAAAUUAAAAAAAGGACUUGGAUGUAGCUCAGUGGUAGAGGACCCCUGGGUUCAAUCCAAAAAGAAGAAGGAGAAGGAGAAGAAGAAGAAAACUCAUUUGGCAAAAAGAGGGCAACGGGCAUUUCUGGAAGAGAGAACAGAAUAUAUGAAGGCCCUGAGCCAGGAGGGAGCAGGGCCCUUGGAAGGAGUUGACCCAAGCCAGUGUGGCUGGAUCAGAGUGAGGGAAAGAGGUGAGAAGAAGUGGGUUGGCGUAGGCCUUAUUAAAGGGAUUAAAAAAAAAAAACUCUAUCUUAAGAGCAAAGGGAGCCACUAGAGGUCUGAAGCAGGUAAGAGACUCAUCAGAAUUGUCACUUGGCGAGAUUCUGGUUAUUCCGAAGAGAAUCCAGUCGUGGUGGGGACAGAGAGACCUCUUGAGAGGCUGUCAUGGUCACCAGGUGAGAAUGGAUUCUACUUCAACAAGAACAGCAAACAGGUUAGAGAGGGGUGGGCAGGUACGGUGGGCUCUGGGCUUGCACUAUGGAGUACAGGUGGGGAGGUCAGAAUCAGGACAACACCUGCCUGGGUUUCCGGGGGGACUGUCAGGGCAGAUGGAGCUGCUACCCAGAGGGAGACCUGCAGCAGCAGCCUUAAAAUCUUACAGAGAAGGAAGUGAAGUUGCAGAGGAAUAGCGCCUGGGAGAGAUUGCUGGCUUCCUGUUACACUCCCCGCUGAACUUGACGGUGUCUUCCACUCGUCCUUACCACUGCCUCAGUGGCUCCCGGACGAGGCCAGAGAAUCGACUUUAAAUUCUGAGUGUGGAUUCCCACGGAGACCCAGGAGUCACAUUUGAUGGAAGGAAAUGCGUGCAGAGCUCCUCUCGCCUCUGUAGCAAUUGGCAUGGCCAUCCUGUCCCCCUCGCCUCCUCCAGGUGAGGGUGCUGUGGGUGGGGGCGGGGGUGGGGCUGCUCUGAUUCACCUGAAUCUGUGAAUAAGUAGAAAAACGAGAAAUAAACAGUUCAAAACAAACCCCAAAGGGAGAUGGAUUCCUUCUAAGCUCUUCCAAGCCAGCUGUGGUGGAAGCCCCUGCUGCCCGGUGCCAAUCAGCCUGGGUGGUCCUUGAGAGCACCACCUGGGGUCUCCCAUGGGGAAACCAAGGGUGCUGGCUGUACCCGGCUUUUCUCCAGUCACUUUUUCUAUGCACUAGAGAGUUGGUGGUAAAUGACAGGAGCCCAACUUGAACCAGCCUAACCAGAGAGGGUGGUUUCGAGAACACUGAGAUGGGGGAGGGAGAUGGUCACAGAUGUCAUGGAGGAGUUGACGGGUCUAGUGGCAGGAAGGGCAGGGUGUGGCUGAAGGCCCUGGAGCAACCAGAACCUAGGGAUGCAAUAUGCUCAGGACUCUUGCCUUCUCUGAUUCUUCCUGACCGUCUGCUCCCAUCGUCCCUCUUCCUGAAGACAGUCUCCAGAGGACAGUCCAACAUGGCAGCCAACCCCACUGGAUAUCAUCUCUUAACAGUUUCAGCUGCCUGGGAGAGACUGCGCAGACAUUUUUAUCCUAAAUGCAAACUCCCCGGUGCCCAUGCCCAGCCUCAUCAACCAUAACUUUGGCAGCAAGGGACUUAUAUAAGAACAGGGCAGCUCCCAAAAGCUGUUGGAGUGGAACAGGGGCAGGUCUCAGAAUGAGAUCAGCAAUCCACCAGCCAGAUAAAAUGAUGAUGCCUUCCACUACCUGUAUGCAUCGAGAGUCGAGUACCUUUAGAAAUGAGGCACCUACCACAAAAGUUGUUACACCUCUUUUCUUCUUUGGAUCGUUCGUUCAAAGAAAUGUGAAUCUGUGCUCCUGGGUCUACAUCAUUCAUCUCUGACUUAGAGUUAACUGUUUUCUUGUUUUCCUUUUAAUCAGGGAUCAUUUUUUGUUUGAUUUUCAUUGACAGAGUCUUUACAAACAAAGCUGCAACAUUCUAUCAAAAAAUAAAAUGAAAUAAAUGAAAUGAAAUGAGGCACCCAGGUCCCUGUUCUGCCAGUGCUCGGUGACAUCAUCCACUUGAAAGGACCAUCUCAUUUAUCACGGUGUGACUCAGGAGCAUCGCCACCUUCAAGGGCUGCCUGUAUCCAGAAUUUCUCAUGCACAGUGAUCUGUGUGAUUCUGAAGAUGACUCAAGAACCCAAACGCAGCUUCGUAGCUGCAAUUAUUUCUGCAGAUACAAUAUUUGUACGGAUCUCAGUAUGACUGUUUUCCUUUCUGGUCUUUCCUGACUUAUUUUUCAUUCCCUAACUUCCUGUUUCGUCCCCAGUGCUCCCAAGAACUCAUUUAUCUUUCCAACAGGAGAGCAUGUUUCUGGCUUUCUGACCCCCAAAGUCCAGACUGACCGACUGAAACUCUGCUUCUGAGCAGGGGUCCAGACACCAGUGUUUUGAGAUCAUUUCAGGUGGUGUGGGGAUGGCUCAAGGGUGGCAGCUGUCCAGUCCCAGGAGGACAGGCUGCCCUGUCUGGGGUGGUGGGACACACUCCUAGCACCCACUUCUUCCCAUCCCUAACCUUCACCCUGAGUAUCUGGCUUACCUCCUCUGAUCCCUCCUCCACACCUGUCUCCACCUCCGCUUUCUCAUCUGUGUGCCCCCCCACCUCCCACCUUCCUCCCCUUAAGCUAUAGUUUGGAUAUUUAAUGUCCCCAAAGGCUCCUGUGCUAAAGGCUUGUUCUCCAGCUUGGUGCCAUUGGAAGGUGGUGGAACUAUUAAUAGGUGGGGCCUAGUGGGAGGUCUUCUGGUGACUUGACGGGAUAGUGGGACCCCAGGUCCUUCCUCUGCCUCUUUUCCUUCCUUCCUUUGCUGAGGAUUGAAUCCAAGGCUUCACACGUGCCAGGCAAUUGCUUUUUCACUGAUCUGCACCCCUGGCUUUGCUUCCUCUUUUCCUUCUCUUCCCAAUAUGAGAUGAAUGGCUUUUCUCCACUGCAUGCUCCCAUGGUCUCCCUGCCAUGAUGUGCUGAAGCAAUACAGGCCCCAGAGCAGCAGGGCCAACUGAGCAGGGACUGAGACCUCCAUAACUGUGAGCCCAAGGAAGCCCUCUGCUUCUAUAAACUGGUUAUCAUAGGUAUUUGUUACUGUAAUGGAAAACUGACUAACUUUAGGGCCUGUUCCUGAGACAUGACCCACAUUGCACCCAACUCCUCAGCACCCCUUCACUGGACUACACCUGCCCAAAGCAACUGGGCCAAGUGGCCAAGGACUGAAACAUCUGAAACCACGAACCCGGAUGAAACUUUCCUCCUUUAGAUAGCUUUUCUCUGGUAUUUUGUCACAGCAAUGAAAUGCUGACUAACACACUCUGGUUAAUAACAAUUCGUUGAAUAUUUCAAGAUGACUGGAAGAGAGGAUUUUGAAUGUUCCCAACACAAAGAAAUGAUCCAUGUCUGAGUGAUGUAUAUGCCAGUUACCCUGAUCUAAUCAUUGUAUAUUAUAUACAUGUAUUGAAAUAUCACCCCAGAAAUGUAUACAACUGACUGUGUCGCUUACAUUUUUCCAAACAUUUAGAAAUACGUUGACUUUAAAGAUUAAGUGAAUAACAGCAGAGAUGUUUCACGGAGGCCACAGAAAUGGUGGCGAUGAUACGUUGACUGAGUUAGAGAGAUAAGUGUAAAUCGAGAUAGGAAAUAGUUACCAGAUUUAUGUGAUGGCAACGGCUGUGUUGUAUAAUUGCUCUGUUGGUGUGGCCCAGCUCUACCGGUGAAUCAGGUAACCACAAUGUGAAACUACUGACACAAUCUGUUUCCAUCUCCCCACAGCCUCGGUGGCACAUGGCAGGGACUCAUUCUCCCUCAUGUGCCUGGACCCACGUAUCAUCUCAAAACCUUGCUUCCCUCUGUAUCCCAGACACUCACUUCCUUUGGAAGGUGACAUAGCCCUACCAUCUCCAGGGCUGUCAAAAGGCUGCCUGUGGCCAGUGGGUUGGACAGGUUUGGGGCAUCAGAAAGGUCUUGACAUUGCUACAAUUAGUGAGGGGUGGAAAGAGGGCAGGGAUGGGGGGUGCUGGGGUAGUGAUAUUCAUUCAUUUAUUAGCUUAGCAAACAUUGUUGUCCUAACUGUGUGUCUGGCACUGCUCCAAGCACAGGGGACGUCAUGGUGAACAUAUUGACAGUGUCCUGAACUUCUUGAAAUUCAUAACCCCUGCGGAUAAGACAGUCCAUGCAGCUUGCACAGUAUCAUGCAAGGUAGCAAAAUAGAGGGCGAGACAGUAGUUAGGGGAGACCUUUCUGGGGAAGAGCAGUUUGAGCUCAAGCAAGGGAAGAAGCCACAUGGAGGUCACAGUCAGGACUCUGCAGCCGGGAGGCAGGUCAAGUCUUCAAGAGGAGACGCUAGGGGGAACCGGCCCUGUGUCCACUUAGAAGCCAAGGGACUCACGAGCACCCAGUGUGUAAAGCAGGAGGACUUAUGAACACACUCAGCUUUCAAAUGUGCCCCAGGGUGCACGUGUACACCCAGCAGCGACAGCAGCACCCCCUGGCAUGAAGCGGAGGGCAGUUCUGUGACCUAACGUCACUACUCAGGACAUCUAACUCGGAGGAAGAACAGGGACUAGUAUUUUGAUGGCUGCAAUUUGUUUUUGAGGCCAACGACUCGAACCACUCAGCCAGCUGAGCCUCCACUGAAACCCAGACGAUCAAGAUAAGGUUGGCAUCAGACAUGAUAGAAAUCAUGGCACUGCACAUUCUAUUUGGUUUCAGUGCAUCUGCCUCCCGGAUUCCCCUCUCUUACCCUCGCUCCAGUCUCCAGCUAUCUUAUUCCCUCUCUAGUCUCCUGUGAAUCAGAAAAACUAGGAGGAGGAGUGGCAAGUGAAAAUUCUGUCUACAGUGUGAAUGGCUGAUAUGACAAAGUGUCACCUCUCACUAGGAGCAUUUGCUUUUGAUUCUAACAAAUGUUGCAAGUCAUAGGAACAACAUUUUAAGAAUAGGAUUUGAGGCCGAAAGAGGUCACCUGUUUUUAGGAAAGUAUAUGUAUGUGGGGGGGGGGUUAGGCUGGGAUUGGGGCAGGUUCUUAUGUCCCUGGGAUCCUGUUCCAGGGCCCCCAGUCAUCUCUCGAAAGAACUCAUCUCUCAUUUGCUGCUCUCCGAGGGCACUUGACACGGUCACUUUAGCAUGAGAACAUUUUGUCAAAGGGAAAUUUUAGCAUCUUUAAAAAGCUAUAAAGCUUGUAAUCUUUCACAAAUUAGUAUAAAGUAAUGCACCCAAGUCUUCCUCCAGUUCCAGACUUUAUCAUAUCCUUCAUUAUGUCUCUUUCUUCCUGCUUACCAGCAGUGACAUGCAUCAGGUGACAAGUCGGAAUGUCCCCUGAGUCAAAGAUCUCGCCUCACCUCAAGAGAGCUGACUCCCUGCAGGUACAGGAGACUCCGGGCUCACUAAAUUGUGACAGCUGAAGAGCUCUUGAUGUCUUCCAGCCUCGCUCAGGUCCAGGCUGCUGCCCUGGAGCAUGUUUUCUACCAGCAGCUGUGUUUCUUGAGUCUGGGGGGAUGGCUGUGUUUUUACCCAGGGGUCUACCCAAAUUUAACGAGCACACAUGUAUUUUAUAAAGGGUAGAGAUGGAUGGUUGGUGUAAGAUAUUCAAAACAGUCCAAUGACUCCCCCAGCAAAUGUAAGAAAUCACUAAUUUAUAGAUCUAAUCUAUAUAUCUCAGGUUAAAGAAAAAUUUGCUUUAUAAAUGUCACCUGAUACCCGCCCUUGCUGCGUGCACUGUGUUGAUAUUUUCACUAUUGGGCAACCAGUUUAGAUCAUACAAAAUCAAAUAUAGAUUUCUUGAC
rnacentral:lncRNA from 1 species